rnacentral:rRNA from 1 species
AUUGAACGCUGGCGGAAUGCUUUACACAUGCAAGUCGAACGGCAGCACGGGGCAACCUGGUGGCGAGUGGCGAACGGUGAGUAAUACAUCGGAACGUGCCCAAUCGUGGGGGAUAACGUAGCGAAAGUUACGCUAAUACCGCAUACGAUCUACGGAUGAAAGCGGGGGAUCGCAAGACCUCGCGCGAAUGGAGCGGCCGAUGUCAGAUUAGGUAGUUGGUGGGGUAAAGGCUCACCAAGCCGACGAUCUGUAGCUGGUCUGAGAGGACGACCAGCCACACUGGGACUGAGACACGGCCCAGACUCCUACGGGAGGCAGCAGUGGGGAAUUUUGGACAAUGGGCGCAAGCCUGAUCCAGCCAUUCCGCGUGCAGGAUGAAGGCCUCGG